UACGUGGGGGGCAAGCGUUGUCCGGAAUCAUUGGGCGUAAAGAGCGUGUAGGCGGCCCGGUCAGUCCGCCGUGAAAGUCCAGGGCUCAACCCUGGAAUGCCGGUGGAUACUGCCGGGCUGGAGUCCGGAAGAGGCGAGUGGAAUUCCUGGUGUAGCGGUGAAAUGCGCAGAUAUCAAGAGGAACACCGAUGGCGAAGGCAGCUCGCUGGGACGGUACUGACGCUGAGACGCGAAAGCGUGGGGAGCAAACAGG
rnacentral:rRNA from 1 species